rnacentral:rRNA from 1 species
AUUGAACGCUGGCGGCAUGCCUUACACAUGCAAGUCGAACGGCAGCACGGGGGCAACCCUGGUGGCGAGUGGCGAACGGGUGAGUAAUGCAUCGGAACGUGCCCAGUAGUGGGGGAUAACCCGGCGAAAGCCGGGCUAAUACCGCAUACGACCUAAGGGUGAAAGCGGGGGACCGUAAGGCCUCGCGCUAUUGGAGCGGCCGAUGUCUGAUUAGCUAGUUGGCGGGGUAAGAGCCCACCAAGGCGACGAUCAGUAGCUGGUCUGAGAGGACGACCAGCCACACGGGGCCUGAGACACGGCCCAGACUCCUACGGGAGGCAGCAGUGGGGAAUUUUGGACAAUGGGCGCAAGCCUGAUCCAGCCAUGCCGCGUGCGGGAAGAAGGCCUUCGGGUUGUAAACCGCUUUUGGCAGGAACGAAACGGCGCAAGCCAAUACCUUGCGCUAAUGACGGUACCUGCAGGAUAAGCACCGGCUAACUACGUGCCAGCCGCCGCUGUAACAC